ensembl:lncRNA
CAAGCAUUCAGCUUCUCUGCUGAAUCAGACUGAAGACGAGACGUCCCACAGCAUUCCCACCAGCAGCCCAGGGGAUCUUAGCUCUUAGAUAAAGCUGCUCUCCAUGUCAAAGAAGACUUGAGGAGAGUAUGUAAAUAGGAUGUGGGAUAUUGUGUGUGUGUGCGCACUUGUUCGUGUGCGUUUUUGUGUGUUUUGUGCGCGCAUGGGUGCGUGUCUGUGGUAUGUGUGUGUACAUUAUGUGACUGUAAUUUACUCAUACUGUAUAACUGUUUCCCCCAUUACAGAUGUGUAAUAUUCCUUACUUGAGCACCAGACUGGAUCUGCUGAUGACUCUGAGAGAGCUUCCCGUAAGCAUGGAGGAUCUGCAGCCACUGAUUAACCAGAAGAUCAGGAUGUGCACGCAGUUAUGCGGCUCCAGGUCGUUCAUCUCCGUGCUGCAGUACCUGCUGUCCAUCGGCAAUUGCCUCAACAAGAACGCAGGGCAGGGAAAGGCCAAGGGAUUCCGCCUGUCCUCUUUAACUAAACUCUCCCAGGUCCAUGGGACAGACAGGAAGUUCACCUUGCUGCAUGCCCUUGUGGAGCAGAUCAUGUUGCACGAAGCCGGCUUGGCCACUUUUCCCCAAGAGUUGGCGGAAUUCGAAACUGUCCCUGGAGCUUCCAUUAAAGGCCUAACUGCUGAAGUGGAUGAUGAGCGCAUCAUAGUGUGGCGGUGAAGGGAAUUUCCAUUUGUCAGGCAUAUUAUGACGAUUGAGAAGUACAACACAGAUCUCUCCCUGCUGACAAAGAGGUGUGAGGGAAUGAGGAAACUCUACACUGAUAUAUUGGCUAAAUUCGGAGAGCCAAUGGAUCAAGAUUCUCAGGAGCUGUUUGGAUUGGUGUGCCAGUUUGUCAACGACUUCAAGAGGACACAUACUGAAAUCAGAUAACAAUAUUUGCUGUCCUUGAGAUACUAUCUAUGUAAAUUCAGCCAGUCUGAAUAGAAUGUAGUUAUAAUUUGUGUACCACACAAGCUGUGCUAUUUCAGUAGUCAAAAAAACCUGGCAUUCUACUGAGAAACAUAACUCACAGCUGUGACUAAUAUUAUGAUCAGGCGGCUAGACUUGAGUACUGCAAUUUCAGUAGGAAAAUAUUUUAGUGUACAGUACUAUGCUGAAAUUACAACAAGUCUACACUGAGUGUACAAAACAUGCUCUUACUAUGACAUAGACUUACCAGGUGAAUCCCGGUGAAAGCUCUGAUCCCUUAUUGAUGUCACUUGUUAAAUCCACUUCAAUCAGUAUAGAUGAAAGGGAGGAGACAGGUUAAAGAAGGAUUUUUCAACCUUGAGACAUGGAAUGUGUAUGUGUGCCAUUAAGAGGGUGAAUGGGCAAGACAAAAGAUUUAAGCUCCUUUUGAACGGGGUAUGGUAGUAGGUGCCAGGCGCACCAGUAUCUGUCAAGAACUGCAAUGCUGCUGGGUAUUUCAUGCUCAACAGUGUCCCAUGUAUAUCAAGAAUGAUCCAACAGCACAUCCGGCCAACUUGACACAACUGUGGGAAACGUUGGAGUCAACAUGGGUCAGCAUCCCUAUGGAACACUUUCGAUACAUUGUAGAGUCCAUUCCCAGACAAAUUGAGGCUGUUCUGAGGGCAAAAGGGGGUGUUUGUAUACUCAGCGUAUAACAGCUAUGUGGUUGGGGACCAUAGAUUAACUGUUAGUUGGGAUUCAUUGUGACAAAUUGUCUGAAAUCGAUUGAAAUAAUUAAUUGAAUUGAACUUAUGAGACAGUUUGGGGAAUGCCAGCACUUGAUUUUUCACAGCUGUCUGUCUGCUGGCAAGGGAACCUAAUCACAAAAAACACUCACACACUAGCCUUCUGAAAACAGUCCAUUUUGAUUACCUAAUUUGUCUUGGGUUGGUUGGAGACAGAGAUUUCAUAUUCCAGUACCUCAGGAAUAGCUCCAAGACCCUUCUCUGAUUCAAGACAACAUCUGGUGCUGUUUGCCAUUUAAAAUGUUUCCCCUGCUCUCUUGUAAUUGGUAUUGCAGCAGCAAAAUGGGUGCUGUUAGCAACAGCUUGAAAAUACUUUCGAUUGAUUUUGAGAGAGAGAGUGUCUGUGUCUUGAUAUUUUAAUUAGAGGACUGAAAAAAAAGCAGCAUUGGUUAGUUGGUCUAACUGUGAACCAACAAUAUAAUGAUCCAGGACCCCAUGCUGGGGUGUUUAAUUUAUAAAGCCGUACUGUCACGCCCUGGUCUAAGUAUUUUGUGUUUUUCUUCAUGUAUUGGGUCAGGCCAGGGUGUGGCAUGGGGUUUUUGUAUUGUGGUGUGUUUUGUC